AACUGUUUGUUCUUGGUAUAAGCUUUCGUGUGCAUGUGCGCUUCUCCAGAUACACUGAAACAGAAGUCACCAGACCCUUAUAUUCUGUUUUAUUCUGAAACCGAAAUCACCAGACCCUCAUAUAAGGGUUUCAGUGUAUCUGGAGAAGCGUGCAUGCACACGAAAGUUUAUACCAAGAACAGACUUAGUUGG